AGGAUUAACGCUGGCGGCGUGCCUGACACAUGCAGGUCGAACGAGGCCGCAAGGCCGAGUGGCGGACGGGUGAGUAACACGUGACCAACCAACCUCGAAGUUGGGAAUAGCUCUGCGAAAGUAGGGGUAAUACCGAAUGUGGCCCAGGGCGGGCAUCCGCCUUGGUCUAAAGAUUCAUCGCUUCGAGACGGGGUCGCGGCCUAUUAGCUUGUUGGUGAGGUAACGGCUCACCAAGGCGAUGAUGGGUAGCUGGUCUGAGAGGACGACCAGCCACACUGGGACUGAGACACGGCCCAGACUCCUACGGGAGGCAGCAGUGAGGAAUCUUCCGCAAUGGGCGAAAGCCUGACGGAGCAACGCCGCGUGUGGGAUGAAGACUCUAGGGUUGUAAACCACUGUCGGAGGGGACGAUCGUGACGGUACCCUCCAAGAAACGCCCCGGCUAACUACGCGCCAGCAGCCGC
rnacentral:rRNA from 1 species